UGUCUAAUAAGUUCUUCAACAAAAUUGAUAGUAAUGGUUGAGCCAAACCCGCGAUACAAAGGUAAAAGGCGAAGUUUUGAGCCUCCAAACGAGCAAUCUCCAAACGAGCAACCGCCAAAGGAGCAGCCUCCAAAGGAGCAACGUCGAAGGGAGCGGCCGUCAGAGGAGGAUACAACCGAUGAAGAAAUCAACCAAAGAAGAAGCCACAGGCCAGAACUCAGUGUUGCUCGAAGGAGAUACAUCAAUACCACCGAGGACGACCGAAAUACUGGAUUUGAGAAAUGUGCUACAAUCUUCUCGAUAGUGUUUGUUGUGCUUCUGUUUCCCGUGGCUAUAUUCUUUUGUCUAAGCGUAUUGAAGGAGUUUCAACGCGGAGUCGUUUUGAGAUUGGGUCGCCUCAGAAAGGGCACACGAGGGCCAGGCAUCGUUUUCAUACUACCCUGCAUAGAUUCUAUGGCAGUGAUUGAUCUCCGAACAGAGGUGGAGGAAGUGCCGCCUCAGGAUGUGAUAACCAGCGACUCGGUGACGAUACGUGUGGACGCUGUACUCUUCUACUCCAUUUACAAUCCCAUGGAUGCACUUCUUCAAGUGGACGAUGUGGAGGAGGCGACAAUAUUUCUUGCUCAGACCACGCUACGAAAUGCGGUGGGCUCCAAGCCGCUCAUGGAACUUUUGACUUCCAGGGAGAAACUGUCCAAGGAAAUCACCGAGGCCGUCGACGAAGCCACAGAGCGCUGGGGUGUCAGAGUGGAGCGCGUUGAACUUAAGGACAUAAGCCUGCCCGAGGCCAUGCAGCGAGCAUUAGCCAGCGAGGCGGAAGCUCUUAGGGAGGCUCGCGCCAAAAUUAUCUCCGCCCAGGGCGAGUUAAAUGCGUCGAAGGCGCUCAAGGAGGCCUCCGAUGUAAUGGCUACCAAUAAAAUCACGCUACAGCUAAGGCACUUACAAAUAUUGACAUCAAUUGCCACUGAGCGCAAUUGUAGGAUUAUAUUUCCCUUCCCGAUGGAUAUGAUGACGCCAUUCGAAGAAAAACCUGGUACCAGUGUUAACAAGCGUGGAGGCGGUGGCAAUGAUGGUGACGACAAUAAAAAGCCUAUAAAACAGAGACAAGAUGAACAUCCCUCUUUUUCCUUUGGUCUACCAUUCUUUGCGAAGCGAGACGAUCCUGACCUCCCACACGGCCUAAGAACCGGAACGGCAUCGCGCGAAACCAGAGAGAUGCCACCGGAUGUGGCACAAGCGGAGCCUGAAGUAGCACCACAGCCAGAAACAGCUCCAGAGCCAGCACCUGCACCUGCACCCGCACCCGCACCACCACCAGCACCACUGCCAGUGCCAGUUCCAAUUCCAGCCAUUAUACCGCAACCUGCAGACAAUACGAACGAUAGUAUGCCCUUCCAAGAUUCGGAUCACACGAAAGGAACCCAAACGCAACGAAGAGCAAAGAAAUUAUAUUGAGCUGUGUGCACAUAUCCAAACCUUGUUAUUAGACCUGUUCAUAACAUUUGCUCAUAAUCCGGAUUAUACUUUAAACUUUGAACUCAAAUUUGGCUUUGUUCAAAUAAUGAUACUCAAAUUCUCAAGUGCUCUUUAAUUAUAAUAUUUAAUGACAUAUUUCUAACAGUGUCGUCGGCCGGGGGUCCAUUUCUCGCAUUUCAAAUUUUUCAGCAACACCUGCUGGGAAAACGCUAUUAAGCCACGAGUGCAUUGGAGUUGUCAAGAUUGUGUCUUACUUAACAGCUAAUGGUAUUUCUAAUUACCGGAGAUAUUAAGGCAUCAAAUUAAAUUUGUAAUUGGGGUAAACUAAAUAUACAAAAUAAUUGAAGUAAAUUAAA